rnacentral:rRNA from 1 species
GGAGUUAGCCGGUGCUUCUUCUGUGAGUGAUGUCCUUCCUGCCGGCUAUUAACCCGCAGGCCUUCUUCCUCACUGAAAGUGCUUUACAACCCGAAGGCCUUCUUCACACACGCGGCAUGGCUGGAUCAGGGUUGCCCCCAUUGUCCAAUAUUCCCCACUGCUGCCUCCCGUAGGAGUCUGGGCCGUGUCUCAGUCCCAGUGUGGCUGAUCAUCCUCUCAGACCAGCUACGGAUCGUCGCCUUGGUGAGCCGUUACCUCACCAACCAGCUAAUCCGACAUAGGCUCAUCCGAUAGCGCGAGGCCCGAAGGUCCCCCGCUUUCCCCCGUAGGGCGUAUGCGGUAUUAGCCUGGGUUUCCCCAGGUUAUCCCCCACUACCGGGCAGAUUCCUAUGCAUUACUCACCCGUCCGCCGCUCGCCACCAGGGAGCAAGCUCCCCGUGCUGCCGCUCGACUUGCAUGUGUUAGGCCUGCCGCCAGCGUUCAAUCUGAGCAGANACAACCUACNCAGNGCGGCGGUCGCGACGACGCGCA